UCUCAGGUAGCUUAGUGGUAAAGAAUCUGCCUGCCAUCACAGGGGAUGCAGGAGAUUCGGGUUCGAUCCCUGGGUUGGGAA
rnacentral:tRNA from 1 species